rnacentral:lncRNA from 1 species
UAAUUCCUUAUUACGAUAUAUCCUUUUUGUAGGUACAAUUGCGCCGAAGGAAGUGAAAGAAUAAAUCAACCCAAAGGAAGUGCCUGAAGCCCAUUGGUUAAUUUGAACAAUUGUGUGUCAAAUUUGUUCCCACAGUUUGACCCAUUGGUUAUAAGAGACUAAAUCCGACUUAGCGGCUCUACUCACACAUGCGCCAUUAUACAUAUUAC